rnacentral:tRNA from 1 species
GGGUGAUUAGCUCAGCUGGGAGAGCACCUCCCUUACAAGGAGGUGGACGGCGGUUCGAGCCCGUAAUCACCCACCA